GGAGUGGUAGUUCAGUUGGUUUAGAAUACCGGCCUGUCACGCCGGGGGUCGCGGGUUCGAGUCCCGUCCACUCCGCCA
rnacentral:tRNA from 2 species